AUGGUGAACAAGCUUCUACCUGCCAUCAAGGCUUUGUGGCCGGCUUCGGAACGCGGACGCAUAAUAUACAUUCUGCAAAAUAAUGCAAAGACCCAUAUUUCCGUGAAUGACAGUGUGUUUUGUGCAGCGGCACAGGCAGAUGGAUGGGAUAUUAGGCUUACAUGUCAGCCGCCCAACUCACCUGAUUUGAACAUUCUUGACUUAGGUUUCUUUGCGGCACUUCAGGCUCUUUUUGAGAAGAUGUCCCCUGGUAAAAUUGUUGAUAUUGUUGUGAAGGUGAAAAAAGCAUAUGACAGGUACCCGGCG
rnacentral:rRNA from 1 species